rnacentral:rRNA from 1 species
CCUACGGGUGACAGCAGUGGGGAAUAUUGCACAAUGGGCGCAAGCCUGAUGCAGCGAUGCCGCGUGUGUGAAGAAGGUCUUCGGGUCGUAAAGUACUGUCAGCGGGGAGGAAGGGAGUAAAGGUAAUACAUCUGCUAAUUGACGUUACCUGCAGAAGAAGCACCGGCUAACUCCGUGCCAGCAGCCGCGGUAAUACGGAGGGUGCAAGCGUUAAUCGGAAUUACUGGGCGUAAAGCGCACGCAGGCGGUUUGUUAAGUCAGAGGUGAAAUCCCCGGGCUCAACCUGGGAACUGCAUCUGAAACUGGCAAACUUGAGUGUCUGAGAGGGUAGUAGAAUUCCAGGUGUAGCAGUGAAAUGCGUAGAUAUCUGGAGGAAUACCAGUGGCGAAGGCGACCCCCUGGCCGAUGACUGACGCUCAGGUGCGAAAGCGUGGGUAGCAAACAGGAUUAGAUACCCUUGUAGUC